CGCCUGUUUUUCAAAAACAUAGCCCAAAGAUUUAUUUUGGGUAAAUUCUGCCCAGCGUAAUUUAUUAGCGGCCGCAGUACUUUGACUGUGCUAAGGUAGCAUAAUCAAUUGGCUUUUAAUUGUAGUCUGGAAUGAAAGGACUAAUAGGGGUUAGCUGUCUCUAUACUAUUAUUUUGAAUUUAUUUAUUAAGUGAAAAUACUUAUACAAAGAAAAAAGACGAGAAGACCCUUAGAAUUUUAAUAAAAUAUUUAAUAAUUUUUUUUUGUUGGGGCGACAUUGAAACAAUUAAACUUUCAUUAACAAUCAAGACAUUUAGGUUUGAAAGAAUAAAUUACCUUAGGGAUAACAGCAUAAUUAAUUAUUUAGUUUGUGACCUCGAUGUUGGACUAGGAACUAGAAGAUUAACCGUCUAAAUAGAUGUCGUCGA
rnacentral:rRNA from 1 species